GACGGAGGAUGCAAGUGUUAUCCGGAAUCACUGGGCGUAAAGCGUCUGUAGGUGGUUUAAAAAAGUCUACUGUUAAAGCUUGAAGCUUAACUUCAAAAAUGCCGUAGAAACUUUUAAACUUGAGUAUGGUAGGGGUAGAGGGAAUUUCCAGUGGAGCGGUGAAAUGCGUAGAUCUUGGAAAGACCACCAAUGGCGAAGGCACUCUACUGGGCCAUUACUGACACUAAGAGACGAAAGCUAGGGGAGCAAAUGGG
rnacentral:rRNA from 1 species